rnacentral:lncRNA from 1 species
AGUGGAAGGGGACUGCUCUCGCUCAGCACUGAAUCUCAGGGCUCCCCCUCAGCCCAGGGCUUCAGUCUGCUGAAAGCAGAUGCAGUGGUUGUUUGAAUGUAGAAUCCCUUUGUCAACACAUUCUCAAGGACAAGUAUUUAUAGAUUCACUGGGGCAGCUGUUCCAAGGUGCCGCUCUCCCCGCUGCUGGGUGUGGAGCAGCCCACGAGUCUCCGAUGCUUGUCCGUCCGUCAGUGCCCUAGUGCAGUCACCCUUGUCUCAGAUGUCCUCUGAGGACCCCCUUUCUGUUUCCCUCAAGUUCUUAUUCCACUCUGCAAUGGGUGGACUGAAAUCCUAUAUCACGUGGACUCCAGAGGGAUUGCCUACGGGGAAGGACAGGAGACUCUGGGUGCGUCAGAGGGUGUACGUGGCUUUGGGACAUUGAUGCCGGUCAUACUGUUGUGUCCUCCCCCAAGCCAGGACUUUGCGUCACUUUGGUCUGACUGUGGAGCAGAGGUGACAUCCCUAACAGACUCCCCUCCUGAAAGAAAGAUGAAAUUUCAAGACCUGUAAGUCAUAUAAAGUACUCAGAAAUUGCUGGUUGUUUGUGAGCCUAGAGGCUGCCUGGGGCUGAAAAUAAAGAAAAACAAACCUGGGUAUGCCACAUAGUUAAAACAUUCCUGGGAACAGCUUAACCUAUAAGAUAAAGAAGACUGUGAGGACAAGCAGGGCUAUCUUGUCUGGGUCAACACCACCUGGCCGGAACCUCCCCUCUGUCUACUGCUCCUUGACGCCGGGUAAAGUCAUACAUCAACUGGUUGCUAUGUGAACAAAGAUAAGCCCCCAGCCCACAGAAACAAAGUCCUGAUGCCCUUUUGCUGACAUGUAAUCUUUCUGUUAAUGUUUAAAUAAGCCAAUAGUGUGUCUCUAUGCUGAAUUCCACACCCCUAAGCCCCUUACCCCAUAAAAACCCCUAGCUUCUGAGCCUCGUGGCCGACAUCCGUUAUCUCCUGUGUGGGAUGCAUGUCGGUCCGGAGCUCCAUAAUUAAACGUCCUCAUGUAUUUACAUCAAGAUGGUUGUCUGUUCGUGAUUCUUGGGUGCACGCCGAAUCGGGAGUUGAGUGGGGGUUUCCCCACUAGGUUCUAACACUCCUAAAGUCUCCUUGUGCUCUGUGUGUGCACAUGCACACGUGUGAAUGUGUGCACCUGCGCACAUGCUUGUGUUUUUAUUAGUUGACUUUUCCCUUUUUGACACAGAGACUCCUGUGGCUCCAGCUGGCCUUGACUCUUCUGGGUAGCUAAGAAUGACAGUGAUCUCUGGCUAUUUCUGACUACUGCUUGAUUUUUUUUUAGCGAUCUUCCUGUUUUUCCUAUGGCACCGCAUUGAGAUUCUUAGCAGCAGUGGACAAAUUACCUUUGAAAUUUUAUCUCCCUUCUUCCCACUGUCACCCUCAUUGCCUGACGCUUGUCACUCAAAUCAGGCUUUACUUGUUCCUGUCACUGUGUGGUGGCUGGCGAUGGCCUAGCCUGGACAUCAGCUCCUGUCACUGUCCCAGCUCCGCUCGCUCUGCUCUGAAAAUUCUUCCAAUGCCUGAAGCGUGGCAAAUGUUUGCCCUGAGAACAGAGCCCCACCUCUUGCAUCAGUUCCCAUGAGCCUUUGGCUGUAGCGUGUGAUCCUGAAAGCUAGUUGGGCCCCUCAAGUCUAGGGCUACUCCUCUGCCCUUCUGGUUCUCACCUGUGUUUUGGGAUGUGCCAAGUCCAGGAUCUUCUUGGAGACAUCACUGUACAAGGCCUGGCUGAAGAUGGUGCCACAGGUACCUACGGGCACAGUAAUGGCUGCUUGCCUCAGUUGACUGGUGCCAUCAGACUGAGCGCCUCCCAGGACCACUGUCAUGGUGAGUCAACGGAGAUCACAGAACAGAUCCGAUGCCGCUCUCCCCAUGCGUGGGAGAAUUGUCUGACUCGGUUUCUUUACAUCACCAGGUGGAAAUCCUUUCCUUAAGCCCUUUAGAGCAGUAAUUAGGCUGAGAGGCUGGGCUCUGCUUCUCUCCGUCAUUCAUACACACACACACACACACACACACACACACACCCCUUAUUCUCCGCUAACACAUGUACUCUAGUCUCUCACCGCCCUGCCUAAUCACACCAUACAAACUGAUUCACUUAUACAGUUUUCACUUGGUGGAAAACCAAGUCUCAAGCAGAGGAAAUUUUGUCUGUGGUGAUUCCUUCAUGUAAAACCCCAGCUAAGAGGUAGUAUGUUUUGUAAUGUGGUAGCAUGAUGCGGCGGAAGUGGGUGCCUUAGCGGGCCCAUGUUGAGGUACCCCCACCAAGGUACCAGCCAGACAAUGGGUCUAGUAUAAAAUGAAGUUUAUUUGGGGCAUGAGAGGAGGCUGUGGAGAGGGGGUGGAGGCAGAGAAAGAGGACAGAGAAGAACAGAAAGAGAGGAGAGAAAGAAGGGAAGAGGCCAGCAGAGAACAUGCAGGGAGAGAGAAAGGAGGAGAGGACAGAAGCGGGAAGAGAGGUCACACAGUCUUUUUAUAGCCAGCUGGGCUCAUACCUGGCUGUUCCUAGGUAACUGUUGGGCAGAGCCUAGAAGAAAUGCUAACGAGGUUUUCUUAAAACUCUAUCUAGGGAAAAAAAAAAUCUGGGCAUAUCUUGUAAUAAGAGGUGGUUCUUGCUGUGCGCUCCCCCACCCAUACCAGCACAUACCCAGGAAACCCCUGUGGGCCCUGGGAGGGUCAGCUGUGUGAAGGAGCCCUGCUAAAGGGAGGUGUGGUCCUCUGAAGGUCACUCCUGGCCGAGGCUCUCCAGGGUGCUCUUUCCAGCCUGCAAAGCUGGCAGCUCAGGCCUUAGCGUCUUAGAGAACUGAGAGGUGGUAAGAACUUAACACUGAGGACCCAUGGCCCCUCCUGUCAUCCACACCAAGUUAGAACAGCACAGAUCUAAUGGGCUGCCUCAGGGAGAGAGGCGCCCACAGGCCAGGAGGGCUCUUCUCAGAGGACACUUGUGAGAUGGGAAGGUGUUUCAGACUCUGAAGGGGGUUCCUAAGAAGCAAAUGCUGGUCUUUCUGGCAGGCUCAGAUCUCCUGAGAUCUCUUGCCGGCAGCUGAUCCUCGAGCCAUGGCAGUCUGUUCUGCCCUGAGGCUUCCCACACUCAGUCUUGGGGCCGCCGCCACAGCAAAUUACCACACACUGAGUAGCUUCAAAGGAACAGGAGUGUAUUCUGUCCUCACCUUCCUGGGGGCCUGAGGGUGGAACACAUACAAGAGAGCCCUGAGCUUUUGGGGGUUGGGGGGAGGGCAUUCUCCUUGCUGUUGGCUUCUAGUGGCCUCAGAUGCUCUUUGUCAUAGGGCUUCAAGAUUUCCAUCUGGCCGCCCUCUUCAUGAGAUCUGAGUAGAUAAGGUGGAUGGAUAGGUGUGGAUUCUCAUCUGGGCCCUUGAAGUGGACGCAGCAUGCAUCUGUAUGCAUCUGUAUGCAUCUGUAUGCAUCUGUAUGCAUCUGCACUCGGGGAGAGGCUCCUAGUCACGUCACCUCACGUGGUGCCUGAAGCCUUGGAUUUUUAUUUCUGUCUCCUGCCUUGUCCUGAUUACGUGCUCUUGCCGUGGCCACAGAGACUUCUCCCUGACACAGUGCGGUAACUGGCCUCUUACCUGACAAGCGAUGCUUCCUCUUCAAGGUGAAUACAUAUAUGCUUGUACACACAUACACUCACAUGCAGAUACAUACAUGUGCACACACAUACACUCUCACACGUGCCUGUGCACACACACGCACACAUACAUAUGCAUACACAUGGCACACACCAGCACACACACAUUUAUGCAGUGCGCACACACACACACACACACAUAUACGCCAGCCUUUCCUGAAUACUGAAUAAAGCUUCUGCGUGCACUCGUGCCUCUCUCCGCUGUGGCUGCAUCAAAUCCUCCUCCUCUCCUAUCGGCUCCACUCUUGUCUUCCGGUGGCCUUCCUGCCCACUCCAGCAGCCAUCAGUCGCUGGCUUGUCUGGCCCACACACCCUAGGGACCACGUCACUAACACUGUUUUUCACAGGCUCAGACACUACUGGAGGGGAGGGUGAAUGGGCAAAGACUUGGUUGACCACAGUGAUACUUCUCAUGAUGUGAGCACCAUGACCACCCAGGGACCAGGUAGCAAGGUGUUUUCUGUAUUAGUAUUAUGAUGAACAGAGCCAAUUACAUGUAUGCACGUAUGUAUAUGAAUAUAUGUUAUUGUACACGUACACACACGAUUACAAAUUGGACAGCCAUUCUUCAUAGAGAAGAAAGUAACCACGGGACAGAUUGUGACCUUGAAAAGCCAGGUGCCUGCCCUGUGACCUUGGGAGCCAGCAUCUCCUCCUCCAGGGCACUAACUGAGCAGCUGUCAUUGGCUGGCAGUGACCCGGCCCUACCUGUUCCCAAGAGGCUGUGAGCUCCUCUCUACAAAGCAACCACUUUCUUGGCUGAGUCUUUAAGUUUACCAGGCUCAUUUGCAUGCUAAUUUGCAUAACUUUACCCAGAUACUUCGGUCUGGUGGUUGGCUGUGCCUGAGAGAACAGCAGAGUCAUUGUCAGGGGCUUGUCAUGCCCAGCUGCUUUCUGCCAUUUACGGAUGCUUCUCUCCAGCGCCGGCCGGCCGGGCUCAAAAAGAAGACGCACGCACAUACUUGCCUUUUCAUUCUCUUCCCCUGAAGAAAUAAAUGCUGGCGUCAAUUUAUGCUAAUUGCCAUGCAGAUUUCCUCCGGUAGACUUUAUUGCUGUAUCUUGUCAGAAUGUGGAUGCAAAUUUAUAUUUCAUAAUAAAUGCACAGAGCUAAGAAGAUUUCAACAAGUGCCGUAGGGAAUAUCUUGCUCAGAGAUCUUCUUGCUCGGAUGUGCUGGUGGAAGGUCUGUGCAGAGGAAUGCAAGUACGCCACCGUCGACACCCCUGUCGAUACUGUGUAAUGCCACACUCAAAGGAAGAUAACCGUUGGGAGGAAAUCUGUGCUUCUUAAUAUUCUUUGCAUGUGUAAAAUAAAGUGGCUGCUAUUUUUCAUAGUCAGUGAGUGCCGUUUGCCAGCGCAAAAGAAUAAAUUAGCAUUGCCAGGUUCGGGGCCACGUAUAACAGUAGACUACACCUCCGUUUCCUUCAGAGAAGACAUCACGCAAUACAGGCAGAGAAGGCACAGCUGUGUGAGGGGAUCACGGGGCUUCUAGACUGACAGAGGACUCCCAGGCACAUGCCUGUUUGUAUCUCUUGAUAUCUCAUCCCCUGUGGGCAUCUACCAUCGGAAAUGAUUUGUUUCAUACCUCAU